GUCUGGUAUAUCCCUUCUCAACCCGGUUCAGACCCGAAGCGGGAUGGAUAAAGCGGGUCAGGCUCGUAACGGACAAAUGAAACGGUUUUUGGCUUUGUUCGCGGAACCGCGGGGAAGCACAAGACGGUGGGUCGUUUGAAUUGAAUUGAUUAUCUCUCUUCCCCCUCCUCUCUCUCUCAUUGGGAAACUGGGAAAUCAAAAGCCCUAGAGGACUAGGAACCAAUUUGAUCUUCAAAUUGUUUGAAUUCGAAGAGUCACUAGAAUCGUUCACUAGUUGCGGUUGGUGUCCAUAUUCCUGCCACAUACCUACCAAAUUGGUUGCAUGUUCAUACUUGUGAAUGAAUCCCAUUUUCAAUUUGUGCUGCCUGGAGGAAAGUCAAUGUCAGCUAAUGCUUGUAUAAUGACCCAAACAAGAGCUUCAGCUUAUGUAAGAUUCCUGAUGGUGCUUGUCUUACUUACAUUUGCAGUAUUGAAUAGUUGGACCAUGGACCAUGAUAGUUGAAAUGAUUUGUGAUUAGUUAUAGCCUUUCUGAUUACACACAAAAAGAUCCUGAAUCCUGAUUGGUGAAAAAUAGAUACUUUGCAGAUAUUGUUUUUACUCUUCAAUCAUGGCUCUAUAGAACUCUUUAUCUUUUUCACUCUAUUGAAUUUUAAUUCUGUAGAUAAUGUAAUUAACAUAG